CCUCACCUCCCCCGCCCCUCCUCCCUCAGAGCCAGAUUUGGGCGAAAAAGGUGCCAGACACUCGAACCCAUAUAGAGAGUCACUCUGCUGGAGAUGGAGAAGAAGAAAGAAAUAAUGAUGUAAGGAGAUGUGUGUGUGUGUGUGUGUGUGUGUGUGUGCGUGUGCGUGUGCGAGAGCCGGAGUGGUCUUCCAUGUGUCUCGCUCACACAAGUGUUAGCGUGUUAGCUUGUUAGCUUGCCGUUUGGCCCGCGCGGAUUGUCCCCUGACAACCUUGAUGAGUUUCACUCUGCGAGGCGCUAACUAGAGCGCAGAUGCUCGGCCGCGUACGCCACGUUUUGCUCGACGCUCUCUCUCCACUUAACGUUUCAAUGCCUGGAAUGGACCAAUCAGAGGAGGUGAGGGGGGGGGGGGGGGGCGGGUCUCUGAACAAUAUUGCCAAAACAUUUGAUGGUGAUAGAAAUAAAGAAAAAAAAGAUGGUUUGCACCACAGAAGCAAGCUCAUCCGCUGUUACCUUGAUGCCUUUCUGCGCUUCCACAUCGAAGAGGCAAAUACUACUUCUCACCGCUACGCUGAUCCGACAGACUUGGUUACCUUGCAAAUAACAAUUCAAAUCAACAGCCAUCAAAUUACUUAAACAAAAGUAAAAAGGUAUCAAAUUAAUAAAAUAUGUAUUUGAUUGGUAAGCCGUGAUUUAAAGAGAAGGGAGAUUUGCUGACGCAUACUUUUACUUAAAGGGGCGGUUUGUGGGUUUUAGUGGCCUCUGGUGGUGAGUUUGCAGGUUGCAUCCAGCGUGUCAUCCCUUGCUCAUGCCUCCUUUCUAUUAUAUUAUAUUGCAUUUGGAUCAAAACCGGUAAAUGUGCCCUUCAUAUGAGGCUUUGAAUGUUUACUAAAUGUUUGCACUGCGUAGUAGCUUCAGUACAAUUUACAACGCAUCACUGCUAAAGUCUAGUCGCUCUAUUUUUGGACCGUAUCCACUUACAGUACACUCUGUGUAUUGAUCAGGAUGGUUUUAACAGACUGCUGUGAGGUCCAUUAACCUGUGGUGAUGACAAAGCAUUAAAAGACUAAUGUGUCCCUGGAGGGGAGGUGUGGGGAGGGGUAAGAGGAGCAGGACAGCUGAGCAGACAACACCACUCUGCACCGUGAAGUGGUGAUAGCUGUGAAGAUGACGCUCGCAUCAUUUGUGUGUAUUAUGUGGUUAUGCGCAUGCUCUCACCGAUGCUAAAUCAGUAUUUGAUUUUCACUUUCACUGCGCCUCAUCGGCCAUGUGAAAUACAGUUUGCCAUGUUGAGGUCGAGGUCGUUGAUGUUCAUUGGGUCGAGGUGGUUGAAGGUCGUUGAAUCGAGGUGGUUGAUGUUCCUUGGGUCGAGGUGGUUGAUGUUUGUUGGGUCGAGGUGGUUGAUGUUCGUUGGGUCGAGGUGGUUGAUGUUUGUUGGGUCGAGGUGGUUGAUGUUUGUUGGGUCGAGGUGGUUGAUGUUUGUUGGGUUGAGGUGGUUAAUGUUCGUUGGGUCGAGGUGGUUGAUGUUUGUUGGGUCGAGGUGGUUGAUGUUCGUUCAGUCGAGGUGGUUGAUGUUUGUUGGGUCGUGGUGGUUGAUGUUCGUUGAGUCGAGGUGGUUGAAGGUUGGUGAGUCGAGGUGGUUGAAGGUCCUUGGGUCGAGGUGGUUGAUGUUCGUUGGGUCGAGGUGGUUGAAGGUCGGUGGGUCGAGGUGGUUGAAGGUCGGUAAGUCGAGGUGGUUGAUGUUCGUUGGGUCGAGGUGGUUGAUGUUUGUUGGGUCGAGGUGGUUGAUGUUUGUUGCGUCGAGGUGGUUGAAGGUCGUUGAAUCGAGGUGGUUGAAGGUCGGUGAGUCGAGGUGGUUGAUGUUCGUUGGGUCGAAGUGGUUGAUGUUUGUUGGGUCGAGGUGGUUGAUGUUUGUUGGGUCGAGGUGGUUGAAGGUCAUUGAAUCGAGAUGGUUGAUGUUCGUUGGGUCGAGGUGGUUGAAGGUCGUUGAAUCGAGGUGGUUGAUGUUUGUUGGGUCGAGGUGGUUGAUGUUCGUUGGGUCGAGGUGGUUGAAGGUCGUUGAAUCGAGGUGGUUGAUGUUUGUUGGGUCGAGGUGGUUGAUGUUUGUUGGGUCGAGGUGGUUGAUGUUCGUUGGGUCGAGGGGGUUGAAGGUCGUUGGAUGAAGGUGGUUGAAGGUCGUUGGAUGAAGGUGGUUGAAGGUCGUUGGAUGAAGAUGGUUGUGUAGGGCACCGUUGUCCGUGGUGCUGAAACUCAGCAGAUGCACAUAAACAUGCUUCCUUGCGUCUGCUUUGUUAAUUAUUCUUUCAUUAAUAAAGGUUUUCUUUGUAUUUGAAGCAGUAGCCUCUUGUUGACGUCUAACAGCUUUUUGCAUGAUAGAAAUGCCCCUUAGCAGAAUGUUAAGAUGAAGAGGAAAAGAAGAAGAAAAAUAAAGGAAGCACAAAAGUACAACCAUGCGGGUUGUAAGUAGUGUAAAGGAUCAUAAAAGUCACAUAUCACAUCUCAUUGGAUCCGCUCAACGGAACAAAUUAGAGACUUUUAGAGAUCACGUUUGUCUUCAAGGCAAAAAAUUGCAUUCAACCGCUCUGAAGUAUCAAAUAUUAUCAGUAUAAUGUAUUUAUAUUCAGUGUAACGUCUGAUUAUAUGACUUUGUUAUCAUCAACUAAAAGCUGAAUAGACCGUUCUAUUUGAAGAUAAAGAGAAAGAGACUCCUCCACCCAGAGGGGAGAAUAUGAUCAACUUUCUGUAAGUACAGGAGGAAAUCCUGGAGAAAACACGUUCCUCCUCCUCUUCCUCCUCCUCUACUCCCCAGUGUCCUUUCUCCUCUUCCUCCUCUGUCCCGUCUUUGUGUUGUGGCCCCUUUUCAGAGGCUUUUUCAGGGGCUGAAGUGGCGCUCGGCUACGCUGAAGUGUCUCCACUGCUGUGCCCGAGCCUGCAAUUCACCCACUGUGCGUGUGUGUGUGUGUGUCUGUGUCUGUGCACGUGUGUGUGUGCGCGUGCAUGUGUGUGUGUGUGUGUGUGCACGUGUGUCUGUGUGUGUGCCUGAGCCUGCAAUUCACCAAUUUCACCGCUAAUUAGCCAACAAAGGCUACCGGCAGGGAGGAGCUGAGGAGGAGGAGGAUGGAGAGGGGGCGGCAUACGCGGGAGGUCCAGGCCUUAGGGGGGAGG
ensembl:lncRNA